GACGAACGCUGGCGGCGUGCUUAACACAUGCAAGUCGAACGGAAAGGCGCUGCUUUUGUGGGUUGCUCGAUUGGCGAACGGGUGAGUAACACGUGAGUAACCUGCCCUUGAAUUUGGGAUAACUUCAGGAAACUCGGGCUAAUACCGGGUAGGAUCUCCUGCACCGUGGUGGGGAUUGGAAAAUGUCGGCGGUUGGGGAUGGAAUCGCUGCUUAUCAGCUUGUUGGUGGGGUAGGGGCUUACCAAGGCUUUGACGGGUAGCCGGCCUGAGAGGGUGACCGGGCACAUUGGGACUGAGAUACGGCCCAGACUCCUACGGGAGGCAGCAGUGGGGAAUAUUGCACAAUGGGCGGAAGCCUGAUGCAGCAACGCCGCGUGCGUGAUGACGGCCUUCGGGUUGUAAACCUCUUUCGCCUGUGACGAAGCGUGAGUGACGGUAAUGGGUAAAGAAGCACCGGCUAACUACGUG
rnacentral:rRNA from 1 species